ACAGCAGUAGCCGCGGUAAUACGGAGGGUGCAAGCGUUAAUCGGAAUUACUGGGCGUAAAGCGCACGCAGGCGGUCUGACAAGUCAGAUGUGAAAUCCCCGGGCUUAACCUGGGAACUGCAUUUGAAACUGUCAGGCUGGAGUCUUGUAGAGGGGGGUGGAAUUCCAGGUGUAGCGGUGAAAUGCGUAGAGAUCUGGAGGAAUACCGGUGGCGAAGGCGGCCCCCUGGACAAAGACUGACGCUCAGGUGCGAAAGCGUGGGGAGCAAACAGGAUUAGAUACCCUUGUAGUCCCUGUCUCUUAUAC
rnacentral:rRNA from 1 species